ACUCCUACGGGAGGCAGCAGUGGGGAAUAUUGCACAAUGGGCGCAAGCCUGAUGCAGCCAUGCCGCGUGUGUGAAGAAGGCCUUCGGGUUGUAAAGCACUUUCAGCGAGGAGGAAGGGUUCAGUGUUAAUAGCACUAUUCAUUGACGUUACUCGCAGAAGAAGCACCGGCUAACUCCGUGCCAGCAGCCGCGGUAAUACGGAGGGUGCAAGCGUUAAUCGGAAUUACUGGGCGUAAAGCGCACGCAGGCGGUUUGUUAAGUCAGAUGUGAAAUCCCCGCGCUUAACGUGGGAACUGCAUUUGAAACUGGCAAGCUAGAGUCUUGUAGAGGGGGGUAGAAUUCCAGGUGUAGCGGUGAAAUGCGUAGAGAUCUGGAGGAAUACCGGUGGCGAAGGCGGCCCCCUGGACAAAGACUGACGCUCAGGUGCGAAAGCGUGGGGAGCAAACAGGGUUAGAUACCCUGGUAGUCCACGCUGUAAACGAUGUCGACUUGGAGGUUGUGCCCUUGAGGCGUGGCUUCCGGAGCUAACGCGUUAAGUCGACCGCCUGGGGAGUACGGCCGCAAGGUUAAAACUCAAAUGAAUUGACGGGGGCCCCCACAAGCGGUGGAGCAUGUGG
rnacentral:rRNA from 1 species